rnacentral:rRNA from 1 species
UACAGAGGGUGCAAGCGUUGUUCGGAAUUAUUGGGCGUAAAGGGUGCGUAGGCGGUUUGAUAAGUUUGAUGUGAAAUCUCUGGGCUCAACCCAAGAGUCUGCAUCGAAAACUGUCGGGCUUGAGUAUGGGAGAGGUGAGUGGAAUUUCCGGUGUAGCGGUGAAAUGCGUAGAGUAUCGGAAGAACACCAGUGGCGAAGGCGACUCGCUGGACA